rnacentral:lncRNA from 1 species
AGUUCAGAAGAAAUUAGACUAAAGGAAAGCACCUCGAUCAAGGUUGAUUUCCCCACCAUUAUUUUCAGGAAGAAGUUGCAAAAUACGGUUCCAGAAAUAAAAACUACACGCAUACAUCCACAUGAAUUUCUGAGCAAGAUGCCAAGCCCUUCUCUGAAGCCAUGUGAAUUUUUCUCUUAUAUUCACACAAAAUGUAAAGAGCAUGCUCCCAGGAAGAGCCCCCAGAUGGUUCCGGAGUGUAAAUGUACAGCUUCCUGGUCCACUCCUCGGUAAGAA